rnacentral:rRNA from 1 species
CACGUAGGGUGCGAGCGUUGUCCGGAAUUAUUGGGCGUAAAGAGCUCGUAGGCGGUGUGUCGCGUCGGCCGUGAAAACCUGCAGCUUAACUGUGGGCUUGCGGUCGAUACGGGCAUCACUGGAGUUCGGCAGGGGAGACUGGAAUUCCUGGUGUAGCGGUGAAAUGCGCAGAUAUCAGGAGGAACACCGGUGGCGAAGGCGGGUCUCUGGGCCGAUACUGACGCUGAGGAGCGAAAGCGUGGGGAGGGAACAGG